GAUGAACGCUAGCGGCAGGCUUAACACAUGCAAGUCGAGGGGCAGCACGGGUAGCAAUAUCUGGUGGCGACCGGCGCAAGGGUGCGUAACGCGUGAGCAACAUGCCCGUAUCAGGGGAAUAAUCCAGGGAAACUUGGUCUAAUACCCCAUAGUAAAUAUUAAAGGCAUCUUUAAUAUUUUAAAGCUUUGGUGGAUACGGAUUGGCUCGCGUGACAUUAGCUAGAUGGUAAGGUAACGGCUUACCAUGGCUACGAUGUCUAGGGGUUCUGAGAGGAAGAUCCCCCA
rnacentral:rRNA from 1 species